AGGGGGAUGUCACUUCCGCGCUAACCGAGCGAUAAAGCUUCCUUUUCAAUCCUUUGCAGCGUUCACUUUCAUCUUUCCGCUUUAUAUUGCUUUAACUCGCGUUAACCGCGAUAACUCGCCUUUUGGCUUACCUUUUGUUGCGUUCGCGCAUCAGACUGCUCGAUUUUUUUGACAGCGAGAACUGUCAAAAGCAAAUGACAGUUCUCGUUGUCAAAUGAUUCGAGCAGUUUGUUUGCUUUUUUUUAAAGAAAGGUCUCAGGGGGAGAUCAUCCGUCGGAACCGUUCUGUGCGUUCCUGUGCCUGCUUGGGUCUCGUUCCACUAGUUUGAGACGGUUCCACCACUGGUUCUUGAGCCAUUCGUCAGUCUCCCGGUGGAGAAAGCCUUCUCAGGUUGAGAAAAUUGCAUGAAAUGAAGGCGCGAACCGGCCCCGAAGGGCACGAUUGAAACCGAUUUUCCAAAGCGCCGAUUUCCUGACCUGAAGCCAUCGGAACGACGGAUCAGAGGAAACUUUCGAAACAUACUUCGACGAAUCUGGUGGGUUUGGAGCUGGGCUAAGCAACACUACACAGAGGUUGCCGAGCAGGACGAUUCUGUGAAAAGGUAUGAAAAUACCGCCGGCAUGAAGGAGCUGCUACCAGUACCUCAAGGAGGUUCCAGUGAAUCCAGAUAAUAUUCCGACUGCGACUGAACAACUAUGCUAGCCAGUACGGUGCAAGUGCUAGCAGCGACUACCAGAACCGCUUCCCGGACUGCCAGCGCAAGGCGUAGUGAUGCAUGAAGCAGUGCCCCUCCUAUCUCGUGAAGGUGAAUGCAACCCAAGUCUGUGCCAGGGCUGGGGAAUCUUCAUAUAGGGCCGCCCCGUCAAGGUGAUCAUUCAUUGAGCAGCUCAAGGUUGUCGGCAAAAAGUUGAGGUUCUCUUAUUCUCAAACAAACAAAUCUGUAAUCAUGUAUUCAAUAAAUUUUGAUAAAUUGUA